rnacentral:rRNA from 1 species
CGUGUAGGCGGUUGGUCAAGUCGGGUGUGAAAGCCCGGGGCUCAGCCUCGGAAGUGCAUCCGAAACUAGCCAGCUAGAGCGCGAUAGAGGAGGGUGGAAUUCCUGGUGUAGCGGUGAAAUGCGUAGAUAUCAGGAGGAACACCGGCGGCGAAGGCGGCCCUCUGGGUCGUUGCUGACGCUGAGACGCGAAAGCGUGGGGAGCAAACAGGAUUAGAUACCCUGGUAGUCCACGCUAUAAACGAUGGGUACUAGGUGUUCGGGGUGUUGACCCCCUGAGUGCCGCAGCUAACGCAUUAACGUACCCCGCCGUGGGACUACGGCCGCAAGGUUAAAA